rnacentral:rRNA from 1 species
AUUGAACGCUGGCGGCAGGCCUAACACAUGCAAGUCGAGCGGAGGGGCAGACGGGGGAGUAAUGCCUAGGAAUCUGCAUGGUAGUGGGGGAGAGCGUCAGGAAACGGGAGCUAAUACCGAAUCCUCUCAGAUGAGCAUAGGUCGGAGUAGCUAGUUGGUGGGGGAAAGGCCUACCAAGGCGACGAUCCGUAACUGGUCUGGGAGGAUGAUCAGUCACACUGGAACUGAGACACGGCCCAGACUCCUACGGGAGGCAGCAGUGGGGAAUAUUGGACAAUGGGCGAAAGCCUGAUCCAGCCAUGCCGCGUGUGUGAAGAAGGUCUUCGGAUUGUAAAGCACUUUCAGUCGGGAGGCGUUACCAACAGAAUAAGCACCGGCUAACUUCGUGCCAGCAGCCGCGGUAAUAC